AUUGAACGCUGGCGGCAGGCCUAACACAUGCAAGUCGAGCGGAUGAAGGGAGCUUGCUCCUGGAUUCAGCGGCGGACGGGUGAGUAAUGCCUAGGAAUCUGUCUGUUAGUGGUGGCUAACGUCCGGACACGGGCGCUAAUACCGCAUACGUCCUGAGGGAGAAAGUGGGGGAUCUUCGGACCUCACGCUAUCAGAUGAUCCUAGGUCGGAUUAUCUAGUUGGUGGGGUAAAGGCCUACCAAGGCGACGAUCCGUAACUGGUCUGAGAGGAUGAUCAGUCACACUGGAACUGAGACACGGUCCAGACUCCUACGGGAGGCAGCAGUGGGGAAUAUUGGACAAUGGGCGAAAGCCUGAUCCAGCCAUGCCGCGUGUGUGAAGAAGGUCUUCGGAUUGUAAAGCACUUUUGGUUGGGAGGAAAAGCAGUAAGUUAAUACCUUGCUGUUUUGACGUUACCAAAAGAAUAAGCACCGGCUAACUUCGUG
rnacentral:rRNA from 1 species